UACGAAGGGUGCAAACGUUGCUCGGAAUUAUUGGGCGUAAAGCGCGCGUAGGCGGCUUGGCAAGUCGGAUGUGAAAUCCCUCGGCUCAACCAAGGAAGUGCAUCCGAAACUGCUGAGCUUGAGUACUUAAGAGGAUCGCGGAAUCCCCGGUGUAGAGGUGAAAUUCGUAGAUAUCGGGAGGAACACCUGAGGCGAAGGCGGGCUACUGGGCCGAUACUGACGCUGAUGCGCGAAAGCCAGGGGAGCGAACGGG
rnacentral:rRNA from 1 species